rnacentral:rRNA from 1 species
UACAGGGUCGUCACAGUGUUCGGUGAUUCAUUGGGCGUAAAGGGUGCGUAGGCGGCGCGGUAAGUCGGGUGUGAAAUCUCGGGGCUUAACUCCGAAACUGCAUUCGAUACUGCCGUGCUUGAGGACUGGAGAGGAGACUGGAAUUUACGGUGUAGCGGUGAAAUGCGUAGAUAUCGAUAAGGAAGACCAGUGGCGAAGGCGGGUCUCUGGACAGUUCCUGACGCUGAGGCACGAAGGCCAGGGGAGCAAACGGG